rnacentral:rRNA from 1 species
AGAGUUUGAUCAUGGCUCAGAACGAACGCUGGCGGCGUGGCUAAAACAUGCAAGUCGCACGCGAACGUCAAGGUUAGCUUGCUAACUGAGACAAGUAGAGUGGCGAAAGGGCGAGGAAUACUUGGGUAACGUGCCUUGAGCACAGGGAUAGUCGUGGGAAACCGCGGGUAAUACCUGAUGAUAUCAUUGCAUCCUCGGAUACAUUGAUCAAAGAUGGCCUCUUCUUGAAAGCUAUCGGCUUUAGAGCGGCCCAAGUCCUAUCAGCUUGUUGGUGAGGUAAUGGCUCACCAAGGCUUCGACGGGUAUCGGGACUGAGAGGUUGACCCGACGCAUCGGAACUGAGACACUGUCCGGACUCCUACGGGAGGCUGCAGUAACGAAUAUUGGACAAUGGGCGAAAGCCUGAUCCAGCGACGCCGCGUGCAGGAAGAAGUCCCUCGGGAUGUAAACUGCUGUCAGGGACUACCAAGCAAUGAGGGUUAAUACCCCUCUGCGUUGAGGCGUCCCAGAGGAAGCCACGGCUAACUUCGUGCCAGCAGCCGCGGUAAGACGAAGGUGGCGAGCGUUGUUCGGAAUCACUGGGCUUAAAGAGCAUGUAGGCGGAUUGUCAAGCGUCUUGUGAAAGCCCUCGGCUUAACCGAGGAAUUGCAGGGCGAACUGAUAGUC